rnacentral:lncRNA from 1 species
UGCCCGACGCUAUAAAGCGUCGUUAAAGGCGUGCCAGAUUCUGUAGCACUUGCUAUUGUCGAUGCUUAAAAGCGUCGGCAAUAUGAAUUUUUUAAAAAAAAAUUCGUAAAAGCAAUUUUUAAUACUCUGUAUACAUUAAAUUCCAACAAAACAAAUACACUAAAUCACAUAGAUAACAAAAUGCACGUCAUAAACAAGAACUUUUCAGUCAAAAUAUUCAUAUUAUCAUAUUUGAUUACAGUGUACUUCAAAAAUACACUAAAAACAUACGUCUCAAAU